GGUUUGGACAAACAGGAGGGGUCAAGGUGGAUAUUCAAGUAAUGCCAGCUGAUUGGCUGAAGAGGAGGAGGAGUUGUUAACAUCCUGCAGAUAUUUCCAGAGAAGGCAAAAUUCAGCCAGGACAAUGCACAGGCACUGAACUCUGCUCCUCUGGACCUAUUCCUCUACAAGAUAGUUUCCUGAGAGUGAAAAUCCUCUGUAAACUCAGGUGGCAAAGACCCAGUAACCCCGCCCUGCAACACGAGAGCUGUUCCCACUAAUUCCCCAUCCUAAAAGGGACAGAUUCUACCAUUUCAGAUUUCUGAUUGGUUCCAGAUUUCUACAAGCUGAAUCCUGUUGCACUGUUGCUCAUCAUCCAUUGAUUGCAUUGAGCUAUUCUGUGUAAUCUGCAUUGAGUCCUAGAAAGGAAGGCUAUAAAAAAUGAAAAUAAAAUAAGUAUCAAGACACAAGACUAUGUACCAGAACAAAGUGCCACCUGAUGUCCUCACCAUUGGGUUCCUCUGCCCCUUGGAGCUGUCAAGCCCAGCCCGCUAGGGAUUGGACCGUCAGGCCUCUAGGCCUGCCUCCCUGACUGUGGCCUGUUUUGGGUUGCGCUGGCCCUGCCCCACUCUGUGGAAAUGCUGAGGCCAGUUGAUUGGAGCUGGGUUGAGGUUGUGCCAACCCUACCCUUCUCAGUGGAACAGCGGAGGACUGCUCCUGCU